rnacentral:lncRNA from 1 species
ACUACAAAAAAUUAUUCGGCACCCUGCCGCUAUUAUCACCAACCAGGUAACCAAAAGUACGCCCAGUACUACAAAAAAUUAUUCGGCAUCCCGCCGCUAUUAUCACCAACCAGGUGAUCAAAAGUACGUCCAGUACUCCAAAAUUAUUCGGCAGCCUGCCGCUAUUAUCACUAACCAGGUGAUCAAAAGUAUGCCCAGUACUUCAAGUUAUACAUAAGCAUUACUCAUGUCAAUCAUACAUAAACAUUCAUGAGCAUCACUCAUGUCAACAUUCAUGAGCAUCACUCAUGUCAACAUUCAUGAGCAUCACUCAUGUCAAUCAACAUAAACAUUCAUAAGCAUCACUCAUGUCAAUCAACUUCAAAAGCUUCAUUUACAAAGCUCUAACUUCAAGAGCUUCAUUUACAGAGCUCUAGCUUCGAAAGUUUCAUUUACAGAGCUCCAGCUUCAAAAACUUCAUUUACAAAAGCUCUAGCUUCAAAAGCUUCAUUUACAGAGCUUCAUUUACAGAGCUUCACUUGCAAGGCUUCACCUACAAAGCUUCAGUGCAGGGUAUACAAAUACCGCCUCUGAACAACUGCCACUUUGGCCCAUACAUGGAUUCAAUUUGAAGUCUCCAGCCAACAGACUCUAUUGACCGAAGACUUGAGGGACUACACUAUGUACCAUAUAUUGGGCCUCAUAAAAAAUACUUGGGGGACUUAGCCCAUUAUUCAUGUAUUGAGGAGUGAGCCCUUAUUUUAUAAAAGAGACUCCCUCACUUUCAUUAGAGAACACCUAUUAUUCAUGUAUUGAGGAGCGAGCCCUUGUUCUAUAAAAAGGACUCCCUCACCAUCAUUAGAGAGCAUUGCCGCCUGCCGAGCAACUAGGGGUGGGCGCGGUGCGGUUUCGUGCGGUUUCGAGUGAAACCACAACCGAAACCGAAACAUUUUGCGGUGCGGUG